rnacentral:rRNA from 1 species
UUAAGUGAACAAGGGCAUACGGCGGAUGCCUUGGCGCCAAGAGCCGAUGAAGGACGCGGUAAGCUGCGAAAAGGCAUGGGUAGGAGCAAGCAUCCUGUGAUCCAUGCAUAUCCGAAUGGGGCAACCCACCAUCAGUCAUGUGAUGGUACGAAAGAGGCAGACCUGGGGAACUGAAACAUCUAAGUACCCAGAGGAAAAGUAAUCAAUUGAGAUUCCCUAAGUAGCGGCGAGCGAAAGGGGAAGAGCCCAAACCAUGAAACUUCGGUUUUGUGGGGUUGAGGACCAGCAUAAAGAGGAAACUUCUUAGUCGAAUGGUUUGGAAAGGCCAUGCACAGAAGGUAAAACACCUGUAGGCGAAAAGAAGUCAAUCGGGCUGGUAUCCAGAGUACUGCGAGACACGUGAAACCUUGCAGGAAGCAGGGGGGACCACCCUCCAAGGCAAAAUACUACUUGGCGACCGAUAGCGCAUAGUACCGUGAGGGAAAGGUGAAAAGAACCCCGGGAGGGGAGUGAAAUAGAACCUGAAACCGUAUGUCUACAAGCAGUCGAAGCACCUUAAGAGUGCGACGGCGUGCCUAUUGAAGAAUGAACCGGCGAGUUACAUUAUGUUGCGAGGUUAAGUGGGAGACACGGAGCCGAAGCGAAAGCGAGUCUUAAUAGGGCGACUAGUAACAUGGUGUAGACCCGAAACCGCAGUGAUCUAUCCAUGGUCAGGUUGAAGCGCAGGUAAAAAUGCGUGGAGGACCGAACCCGUGAGUGUUGAAAAACUUUGGGAUGAACCGUGGAUAGGGGUGAAAUGCCAAUCGAACGCGGAGAUAGCUGGUACUCCCCGAAAUAGCUUUAGGGCUAGCCUCAGGGAAGAUGAUAGACGGUAGAGCACUGAUCUGGCAAGGGGGCGUAAAGCCUACCGACCCUAGUCAAACUUCGAAUGGCUAUAAUUAAGACCCUGGGAGUCAGACUGCGAGUGAUAAGACCCGUAGUCAAGAGGGAAACAGCCCAGACCGCCGACUAAGGUCCCCAAUGCUGUACUAAGUGGAAAAGGAUGUAAGACUUCAUAAACAACCAGGAUGUUGGCUUAGAAGCAGCCACCAUUAAAAGAGUGCGUAAUAGCUCACUGGUCGAGAGGCCUUGCGCCGAAGAUGUCCGGGGCUCAAGUACAGAACCGAAGUCGCGGCAGGAUUAUAUAAUUCUGGGUAGGGGAGCGUUGUAUAUCCGACUGAAGGUGUACCGGAAGGAGCGCUGGAGGAUAUACAAGAGAGAAUGCCGGUAUGAGUAGCGAAAAGAACAGUGAGAAUCUGUUCCACCGAAAGCCUAAGGUUUCCUGAGCAACGCUCGUCGACUCAGGGUAAGUCGGGACCUAAGCCGAGGCAAAAAGCAUAGGCGAUGGACAACAGGUUAAUAUUCCUGUACCGCUUCAAAUCGUUUGAGCAAUGGAGUGACACAGAAGGUAGCUUGAGCACGCGAAUGGAUGUGCGUGUCGAAGGUGGUAGGUUGCAGUAUAGGUAAAUCCGUACUGUAUAAGACCGAGAACUGAUAGAUAGACGAUACUUCGGUAAAGUCAAAUUCAAGUGAGCCAUGCUGUCGAGAAAAGCUUCUAGUGAGAGAUGAGGCGCCCGUACCGAAACCGACACAGGUAGGCGGGGAGAGAAUCCUAAGGUGCGCGGGACAACCCUCGUUAAGGAACUCGGCAAAUUGUAUCCGUAACUUAGGGAUAAGGAUAGCCGGAGGAUGUGAAGGGAUUUACUUCUGGAGCGUCAGCCGGUGGCACAAGAGAGGCCCAAGCGACUGUUUAGCACAAACACAGGUGCCUGCAAAAGAGAAAUCUGACGUAUAGGUGCUGACACCUGCCCGGUGCUGGAAGGUUAAGAGGAGGGCUUAGAGGAAACUCGAAGGCUUGAAUUGAAGCCCCAGUAAACGGCGGCCGUAACUAUAACGGUCCUAAGGUAGCGAAAUUCCUUGUCGGGU